rnacentral:lncRNA from 1 species
GGGAGAAAGAGAUGUGGGGCACAAAGAGGCUUUUGGCGUCCCCGGGAUGGGCAGCAGGUGAAACCGGCUUCUCCGGGGGCUUNNNNNNNNNNGGGGAGGUCCGCGGGCCACCGGCUCAUUUCUCCUCUUCUCUCUUCUCCCCCUUUCCCCUGGCAGCUGUGUCCACCUCUGUCUUCAUCGUGGCCAUCCUCAUCCUGCUGCUGCUCCUGUACCACCGGGACCCCAUGUGCUGCCAGUUCCUCUGCUCCUGCCGCUUCUUCCAGACCCCCAGCCAGUAUGACUGUCCCCCACCCUACUUCAGCAGCAGCCAGCGGCUGGUGGGUCCCCAAAGCGGAGCGUCCCGGCUGGAGAGCGCUGCUGAGAACCCCGGAGUGCAGGGAGACGAGCUGUUCUGCGUCGGGCCCCCCAGCAGCUACCAGCUCCCCUCCUGGGAGCAGCCCCGCCUGCCCAGCUACGAGAGCGUGCGCAAGAAAGAUCGCCAGCGGGAGAUCCAUCAGAUGAUCGCCGAGAGGUUUGGCCUGUGGGCAGAGCCUUCCCAGGAGAUGCCGCCUCCCUACGAGCACGCUCUGAGGCACCCUCCAGCUUUCUCAGGAACACUACUAAGCUCGGGGACCUUGGACAGACGUGGCGUGCCCGACCCUUUCCAGGCCCCUCUUGGCUACCAAACUCAGCGAAACACAGACGUGUAA